AUACAUAUAUUUUAGGUAAGCAUUUUUCUAGAUACAUAAUUUUAUAUAACGGAAAAAAGCAAUAUAUUAUGUUUUGUGGAGGUUUCAGGUGUACAAAAUGUUCAACAGUUAUGGCUUAUCAUCUAAAAUUGGUUAAAUAUUCGGGUAAGUUUUAUUUGAUUACUAUAAUUUUGUACGAUGACUAAUAUAGUAUAUCCCAAUAUGAUGAUAUUUGAACCACCAAGAUCUCUGAAUGCUGUGAUUUUACAGUAUUUGCUAACUGACUAUCACUUUAAUAAAUUGAAAUUUAAAUGGAAAAAUAACAAUCUUGACAUACUAUUCUUUCUUAAUGUUUAGAUUGCCUGCAAGCUUUGCUGCUUCUAUCUUAAGAUCUUGUGAAGUGAAUAAAGGUUUCAUUGAAAUUCAAUAGAAAAACGGAAAAGUCAACUUUUAAGAAGGUCUCUUAUUGGCUGUGAAGAUACUUGGCAAUAAUUCAAUCUUCAAGGAUUUUUUACUCUUCUUGGGUGUAUGCGACUUUAUCAAAUAAUCUUCCAUUUAAAUACACGAUAAGAUGUAAAUUAUUAUUUACUAAUAAAGAAACUCAAGAAAGUUAUAGUG